AUUGAACGCUGGCGGCAGGCUUAACACAUGCAAGUCGAGCGGAGUGGUGGUGCUUGCACUAUCACUUAGCGGUGGACGGGUGAGUAAUGCUUAGGAAUCUGCCUAUUAGUGGGGGACAACAUUUCGAAAGGAAUGCUAAUACCGCAUACGUCCUACGGGAGAAAGCUGGGGAUCUUCGGACCUUGCGCUAAUAGAUGAGCCUAAGUCGGAUUAGCUAGUUGGUGGGGUAAAGGCCUACCAAGGCGACGAUCUGUAGCGGGUCUGAGAGGAUGAUCCGCCACACUGGGACUGAGACACGGCCCAGACUCCUACGGGAGGCAGCAGUGGGGAAUAUUGGACAAUGGGCGGAAGCCUGAUCCAGCCAUGCCGCGUGUGUGAGGAAGGCCUUAUGGUUGUAAAGCACUUUAAGCGAGGAGGAGGCUACUUUAGUUAAUACUUAGAGAUAGUGGACGUUACUCGCAGAAUAAGCACCGGCUAACUCUGUGCCAGCCGCCGCAGUAACAC
rnacentral:rRNA from 1 species